CCUACGGGAGGCAGCAGUGGGGAAUAUUGCACAAUGGGGGAAACCCUGAUGCAGCGACGCCGCGUGAGUGAAGAAGUAUUUCGGUAUGUAAAGCUCUAUCAGCAGGGAAGAAAAUGACGGUACCUGAUUAAGAAGCCCCGGCUAACUACGUGACAGCAGCCGCGGUAAUACGUAGGGGGCAAGCGUUAUCCGGAUUUACUGGGUGUAAAGGGGGCGUAGACGGCAGCACAAGUCUGGAGUGAAAUGCCGGGGCUUAACCCCGGAACUGCUUUGGAAACUGUGCAGCUAGAGUGCAGGAGAGGUAAGUGGAAUUCCUAGUGUAGCGGUGAAAUGCGUAGAUAUUAGGAGGAACACCAGUGGCGAAGGCGGCUUACUGGACUGUAACUGACGUUGAGGCUCGAAAGCGUGGGGAGCAAACAGGAUUAGAUACCCUUGUAGUC
rnacentral:rRNA from 1 species